CCUAACGUCUGUAUUGUUGAAGUACACGUUGGAAACUUGAGGGAUUAGUUCCUGAUUUUAAAGACCCCAGCCCGCCAGGCUCUUCCCCUCUUACUGCUUCCCCUUCUCACUCUCAAGGUCACCGCAGAGCCGUCGUCGCGGUAGACCCAGCCCGAGGGGAACGUGGUCAUCAUCGUGUGCCUGAGAGAAUUGUCAGAGGCAGAAUAGUCGCGUCAGAGGUCAAAUUGUCGCCGUCUUUGUCGCGCGGAGAAGUAGAGGCAGAAUCCUGAGGAGAAUCGCGCAGCCUCCAUCCAGAUCUUCGUCGCCGGCUCCAGACUCCAACGCGCUCUCCGUCGCAGCUUGCAGUCCGGUCUCCGGCGCCUCCAGCAAGAUCUGUCUUCAUCGCAGUCGUCAGCCUCUUCGCCGUCCGGUAUCCAGCAAGUCUGCCUCUCGAGAUUGAGAAGCAGGGGAAGGGUGUUCACCUUCUGUUAAAA